GAUCCUGGCUCAGGAUGAACGCUGGCGGCGUGCCUAACACAUGCAAGUCGAGCGAUCUCUUCGGAGAGAGCGGCGGACGGGUGAGUAACGCGUGGGUAACCUGCCCUGUACACACGGAUAACAUACCGAAAGGUAUGCUAAUACGGGAUAAUAUAUAAGAGUCGCAUGACUUUUAUAUCAAAGAUUUUUCGGUACAGGAUGGACCCGCGUCUGAUAGUCUUGUUUGGUCGGGGGUAACGGGUACCCGACCCAAACGG
rnacentral:rRNA from 1 species